rnacentral:lncRNA from 1 species
ACGCUUUGGCAACAAUAAGGUUUAAACGAUGACUGGAGUAAUGAACAUGCAACGCCUUCGGGUUUUUCUCUAAUAUUCUCCCAGAAAUACCUUUUACCUGGCUGGACACAGCACUAGCACCGUCAUAUCCCAGGCCUCGACAAUUUUGAAGGGAAGCCCGACAUCUUGAAGUGUACUUUGACUAAUGAACGGAAUCAAAUCCAAAGGCGAAACAGUUCGGUAUACAAAUGAAAAUGUUCUUGAAUCAUGUAAAACUUCAAAUUUAUUCAAGAAUGUAUUAAAUUAUCCAGAAAGUAUAAGCUUGGAGUUAUCAUUAAAAAGUGCCUUGCACCAGAUAUUUUCAAUAAUUAGCUAUCGAGACCAUCCUCAGUUGU